ensembl:snoRNA Snord35b small nucleolar RNA, C/D box 35B
GGCAGAUGAUGUCUGUUCUCACGAUGGUCUUCAGACAGCCCCAAGGGCACUGCUGAGACAGCCAGUUGGCAAAACUGAUGCCAGAAG